rnacentral:rRNA from 1 species
AACUGAAACAAAAUCACAUUGAAAAGUGACCCAACCUGAUCUUGGAAGCUAAGCAGGGUUGGGCCUGGUUAGUACUUGGAAGGGAAAAAAGUGACCCAACAUCCAGUGCCUGGGAGGUGCAGUUG